CCUAACACAUGCAAGUCGAGGGGUAACAUAGAAAAGCUUGCUUUUCUGAUGACGACCGGCGCACGGGUGCGUAACGCGUAUACAACCUACCUUUUAGCGGGGAAUAGCCCAGGGAAACUUGGAUUAAUGCCCCAUAGUAUAUAGACUUCUCCUGAAGUUUAUAUUAAACAUUUAUGGCUAUUAGAUGGGUAUGCGUCCUAUUAGUUAGUUGGUAAGGUAACGGCUUACCAAGGCAGCGAUAGGUAGGGGUCCUGAGAGGGAGAUCCCCCACACUGGUACUGAGACACGGACCAGACUCCUACGGGAGGCAGCAGUGAGGAAUAUUGGACAAUGGGCGAGAGCCUGAUCCAGCCAUGCCGCGUGCAGGAAGACUGCCCUAUGGGUUGUAAACUGCUUUUACAGAGGAAGAACCACCCCCACGUGUGGGGGUUUGACGGUACUCUGCGAAUAAGGAUCGGCUAACUCCGUGCCAGCAGCCGCGGUAAUACGGAGGAUCCAAGCGUUAUCCGGAAUCAUUGGGUUUAAAGGGUCCGUAGGCGGGCAGUUAAGUCAGUGGUGAAAGUCUUCCGCUCAACGGGAGAACUGCCAUUGAUACUGAUUGUCUUGAGUUAUUAUGAAGUGGUUAGAAUGAGUAGUGGANCGGUGAAAUGCAUAGAUAUUACUCANAAUACCGAUUGCNAAGGCAGAUCACUAAUAAUAUACUGACGCUGAUGGAC
rnacentral:rRNA from 1 species